rnacentral:rRNA from 1 species
GACGAACGCUGGCGGCGUGCCUAAUACAUGCAAGUCGAGCGGACGAAUCGAAAGCUUGCUUUUGAGUCGUUAGCGGCGGACGGGUGAGUAACACGUGGGCAACCUGCCCUGUAGACGGGGAUAACACCGAGAAAUCGGUGCUAAUACCGGAUAACACGAAAUGUCGCAUGACGCUUCGUUUGAAGACGGCGCAAGCUGUCGUUACAGGAUGGGUCCGCGGCGCAUUAGCUAGUUGGUGAGGUAACGGUCCACCAUGGCGACGCUGCGUAGCCGACCUGAGAGGGUGAUCGGCCACAUUGGCACUGAGACACGGCCCAGACUCCUACGGGAGGCAGCAGUAGGGAAUCUUCCGCAAUGGACGAAAGUCGGACGGAGCAACGCCGCGUGAGCGAAGAAGGCCUUCUGGUCGUAAAGCUCUGUUGUUAGGGAAGAACAAGUAACGCAGUAACUGGCGUUACCGUGACGGUACCUAACGAGAAAGCCACGGCUAACUACGUG